rnacentral:rRNA from 1 species
GAUAAACGCUGGCGGUGUGCUUUAUGCAUGCAAGUCGAACGGGUUCCGCAAGGAAUCAGUGGCAGACGGGUGAGCAACACGUAAGUGACCUACCCUAAAGUGGGGAACAACUCCUAGAAAUGGGAGCUAAUACCGCAUGUGAUCCUGGUCUUUAACUAUCAGGAUUAAAGCCGUAAGGCGCUUUUGGAGGGGCUUGCGUCCGAUUAGAUAGUUGGUGAGGUAACGGCCCACCAAGUCGACGAUCGGUAGCUGGUUUGAGAGGACGACCAGCCACACGGGGACUGAGACACGGCCCCGACUCCUACGGGAGGCAGCAGCAAGGAAUAUUGGGCAAUGGGCGAAAGCCUGACCCAGCGACACCGCGUGGGGGAAGAAGACCUUCGGGUUGUAAACUCCUUUUAUUGGGGAAGAAUAAUGACGGUACCCAAUGAAUAAGCCCCGGCUAACUACGUGCCAGCCGCCGCGGUAAUAC